rnacentral:rRNA from 1 species
AUUGAACGCUGGCGGCAGGCCUAACACAUGCAAGUCGAGCGGAUGAAGGGAGCUUGCUCCUGGAUUCAGCGGCGGACGGGUGAGUAAUGCCUAGGAAUCUGCCUGGUAGUGGGGGAUAACGUCUGGAAACGGGCGCUAAUACCGCAUACGUCCUGAGGGAGAAAGUGGGGGAUCUUCGGACCUCACGCUAUCAGAUGAGCCUAGGUCGGAUUAGCUAGUUGGUGGGGUAAAGGCCUACCAAGGCGACGAUCCGUAACUGGUCUGAGAGGAUGAUCAGUCACACUGGAACUGAGACACGGUCCAGACUCCUACGGGAGGCAGCAGUGGGGAAUAUUGGACAAUGGGCGAAAGCCUGAUCCAGCCAUGCCGCGUGUGUGAAGGAGGUCUUCGGAUUGUAAAGCACUUUAAGUUGGGAGGAAGGGCAGUAAGUUAAUACCUUGCUGUUUUGACGUUACCAACAGAAUAAGCACCGGCUAACUUCGUG